GGGCGUUAAGUUGCAGGGUAUAGACCCGAAACCCGGUGAUCUAGCCAUGGGCAGGUUGAAGGUUGGGUAACACUAACUGGAGGACCGAACCGACUAAUGUUGAAAAAUUAGCGGAUGACCUGUGGCUGGGGGUGAAAGGCCAAUCAAACCGGGAGAUAGCUGGUUCUCCCCGAAAGCUAUUUAGGUAGCGCCUCGUGAAUUCAUCUCCGGGGGUAGAGCACUGUUUCGGCUAGGGGGCCAUCCCGGCUUACCAACCCGAUGCAAACUGCGAAUACCGGAGAAUGUUAUCACGGGAGACACACGGCGGGUGCUAACGUCCGUCGUGAAGAGGGAAACAACCCAGACCGCCAGCUAAGGUCCCAAAGUCAUGGUUAAGUGGGAAACGAUGUGGGAAGGCCCAGACAGCCAGGAUGUUGGCUUAGAAGCAGCCAUCAUUUAAAGAAAGCGUAAUAGCUCACUGGUCGAGUCGGCCUGCGCGGAAGAUGUAACGGGGCUAAACCAUGCACCGAAGCUGCGGCAGCGACGCUGAUGCGUUGUUGGGUAGGGGAGCGUUCUGUAAGCCUGCGAAGGUGACCUGUGAGGGUUGCUGGAGGUAUCAGAAGUGCGAAUGCUGACAUA
rnacentral:rRNA from 1 species